GCACAUGCCCGGUCUGGUCUAUACAGGCUUUCGAGACUUAAUUCAUUACCACGUAGCCUGAUAGUCAAUCCUUCCUACGGGGGGACGGUCCAUUCUAGGAUUGAACCCAUGAACCCAUGACGGGCAUGUUAUUGAGUUGUUCGAGUUGACGACUGUACCAUGGGAAGUUUAUUGUUCAUUGAUUAUUAUUGUCCAUCUAAAACAAUAUUCUUAUCCUAAACCUAAUCCUAACCUGACAAACCAUAAAUUAACACAGUGCCUGUACCUAGAAAGAAGUAAAGGAAGAAGAUUUAACUGAAUGUAAGUAUAGAUAACCGAAGGAUACCAAGGAAGACCUGAAGUCAAAUAAGUGACACAGACUGUUAAAGCGUCAAAAAGAAACCAGAAUCAUGGGAUCGUUUGAACCACAUCCUUUUGUGUUUCAAGAAAAAUGGAACCCAUUUGCAACGGGAAUGCCGAUGGAGUAAGAUAGAGUAAGCAACCCUGCAACGGAAAUGUGAAAAUCUGGUUUGAUAAUUUUAGUUUAGCACAUUUUGGGAAUUUCCAGGAUUUUUGAAUUUUUGCACGUUAUAAAAGCGAGCAACGAUUCGCGGCACAGAUACACUCUGCUUCUAGCAUCAUUCCGUUUCGAACCUACGUUCAAAGUACGACUCCUGCCAACAAGAAGAUUAUUCUGCUAAUUUCUGCAUUCAUCCUGCUCUGCAUACAGCUGGCUAGUGGAGCUCCCUAUUCAACGGCAUACGCAAAAGCACACUCAUCCUCACGCGCUGGAGGCGUAUCGAUUGUUUACUCGCCGGCAGCCUACGAGGAGAGCGCAGAAGAGAUAGCGCAUGGUGGCUAUGGUGGCCAUGGUGUACAGAUUGUACAGAUACCCCAAGUACAUAGCUUUGCCAAAAGUUCUGCUCACAGUGUAGUUUAUUAAUCUCACGAAUGACACGGGCAUGUUUAUUAAUCUCACGAAUGACCAUGGAUAUGAAGAUUCAGUAGUUUGGCGCAUCCUGUGCCAAGCUAUUUGCAUUGUUGAUUAAAAAUGUCAAUAAAAUGCUAGCAAAAGGACUUACCUAGGUGCAAAACAUGAA